rnacentral:rRNA from 1 species
GUGGGGAAUCUUGCGCAAUGGGCGAAAGCCUGACGCAGCCAUGCCGCGUGAAUGAUGAAGGUCUUAGGAUUGUAAAAUUCUUUCACCGGGGACGAUAAUGACGGUACCCGGAGAAGAAGCCCCGGCUAACUUCGUGCCAGCAGCCGCGGUAAUACGAAGGGGGCUAGCGUUGCUCGGAAUUACUGGGCGUAAAGGGCGCGUAGGCGGACAGUUUAGUCAGAGGUGAAAGCCCAGGGCUCAACCUUGGAAUUGCCUUUGAUACGGGCUGUCUUGAGUACGGGAGAGGUGAGUGGAACUCCGAGUGUAGAGGUGAAAUUCGUAGAUAUUCGGAAGAACACCAGUGGCGAAGGCGACUCACUGGCCCGUUACUGACGCUGAGGCGCGAAAGCGUGGGGAGCAAACAGGAUUAGAAGCCCUUGUAGUCC